AGGGGUAUAGUGUCAAUGGUAGCACAUCGGUCUCCAAAACCGCCUGUGUGGGUUCGAAUCCUACUACCCCUGCCA
rnacentral:tRNA from 4 species